rnacentral:rRNA from 1 species
AGAGCGAACGCUGGCGGCAUGCUUAACACAUGCAAGUCUCACGGGCAGCAAUGUCAGUGGCGGACGGGUGAGUAACGCGUAGGUAUCUAUCCAUGGGUGGGGGAUAACGUCGGGAAACUGACGCUAAUACCGCAUGACAUCUGAGGAUCAAAGGCGCGAGUCGCCUGUGGAGGAGCCUGCGUACGAUUAGCUAGUUGGUGGGGUAAAGCCUACCAAGGCUACGAUCGUUAGCUGGUCUGAGAGGAUGAUCAGCCACACUGGGACUGAGACACGGCCCAGACUCCUACGGGAGGCAGCAGUGGGGAAUAUUGGACAAUGGGCGAAAGCCUGAUCCAGCAAUGCCGCGUGUGUGAAGAAGGUCUUCGGAUUGUAAAGCACUUUCGGCGGGGACGAUGAUGACGGUACCCGCAGAAGAAGCCCCGGCUAACUUCGCGCCAGCAGCCGCGGUAA